GCAGACUGCCAAGUAAGCCGUNUGUGUUCAGCAUACAGUGUCUCUCUGGUAGACCUGGAAGUCGGUUGUUGUGAAUGCAGCCCAAAGUGGGUGGUAAACUCCAUCCAACGCUAAAUACUUGCAGAGUCCGAUAGCGAACAAGUCCGUGAGGAAAGUUGAAAAGUACUUUAAAGAGAGAGUAAACAGUGCGUGAACCCGCUCAGAGGUAAACGGGUGGAGUUGAACUGCGAGUCCAGAGAAUUCAGCUGGUGAGUGUGGUCUGAGCUUGUUCAGGUUGGCUGUACACUGGAGUCUGCGAAGUAGCGGGUCUCUUCCUUCUGGUUGAGAUGUGCGAGACACCUAAAUAAGUGUUGCACGCUUCAGUUGUAUACGGGCCUGCUUGCCGGUGCAUUUUCUCUGGGUGUUCACCACGACCGGCACUGCUGUCUGGCCGUUGUGGUUAAACCGGUCUUGCUUAGUCCUCGUGGCUUUGCUUGGUCGGGAUGGCAGGUAACCUGUUGGCUAGUCUUUUGACCUGCCUUCGGGUGUAAUCAGCUGACCAUGAUGGUUCUGUGCAGUGUGUCGGAGACGGCGGCUUGUGGUGUGAGCGCGCGUGCACUUGUCUGCUGACUUGGUCGGGUCUGGUUGCUCUGUUGCUUGGUUAGCAAGCCUAGCGAUGGCCUGACUUUGUUUGGUAGGCGGUUGCGUGUGUGACACUAUCCAGAGGCCA
rnacentral:rRNA from 1 species